CAGAGGUGGCAAGCGUUGUUCGGAAUUACUGGGCGUAAAGGGCGCGUAGGCGGCCAUCUAAGUCAGACGUGAAAUCCCCCGGCUUAACCUGGGAACUGCGUCUGAUACUGGACGGCUAGAGUAUGGGAGAGGGAUGUAGAAUUCCAGGUGUAGCGGUGAAAUGCGUAGAUAUCUGGAGGAAUACCGGUGGCGAAGGCGGCAUCCUGGACCAUUUACUGACGCUGAGGCGCGAAAGCUAGGGGAGCAAACGGGAUUAGAUACCCCGGUAGUCCUAGCCCUAAACGAUAAUGCUUGGUGUGGCGGGUAUCGAUCCCUGCCGUGCCGAAGCUAACGCAUUAAGCAUUCCGCCUGGGGAGUACGGUCACAAGGCUG
rnacentral:rRNA from 1 species